ensembl:lncRNA
GAUGGCUGGAUGGCAUCACCGACUCGAUGGACAUGAGUCUGAGUGAACUCCGGAAGUUGGUGAUGGACAGGGAGGCCUGGCGUGCUGUGAUUCAUGGGGUCGCGAAGAGUUGGACACGACUGAGCGACUGAAGUGAACUGAACUGACUGAAGCCUGGACAUACUGUGGAAUAGGAUGCGAGUGCUUUGCACGCUUUCCCUCUAAUGUAGGCAAAGCUCCCCUGCCUGUAACUUGGCCUGAGGUCCAUGGAGCAGGGGAGGGGAAGCUGGUAGGAGCGUUAUGAAUGCACUCAGCAACUUCAAUAUUAUGGCAAAACAACCAAGAUAAAUAAACACACGCAUACAUGGAUACACAUGCUUUUCUUUCUUUUUCCUUUUCAGGGGACAUCAUGGGAUUUUGUUUUUGCACAACUUGCAGAAUCUUAAUUCCUUGAUCAGAGACUGAACCUGUGAAAAUAGAGAGUCGCAGCCACUGACCCACCAGAGAAUUCCCUCCAUGGUCUUUGUCUUUCUUCUUCUUUUUAGUUUUAAAGCCUU